rnacentral:rRNA from 1 species
AGUAACCUGCCUUGGAGUGGGGAAUAACAGCUGGAAACAGCUGCUAAUACCGCAUAAUAUGUCUGUGUCGCAUGGCACUGGACAUCAAAGAUUUAUCGCUCUGAGAUGGACUCGCGUCUGAUUAGCUGGUUGGCGGGGUAACGGCCCACCAAGGCGACGAUCAGUAGCCGGACUGAGAGGUUGGCCGGCCACAUUGGGACUGAGACACGGCCCAGACUCCUACGGAAGGCAGCAG